AACCCUUGUUGAGGACAUUUCUUCAGGGGCUUCUUGAUCCCAUCCCAUGUCUCAAAUAGAGACUCCAAUUCCAUUUGCACAAAAGAUGAUAUUUCAUUUCUAAGCUU